rnacentral:rRNA from 1 species
UGCCAGCAGCCGCGGUAAUACGGAGGGUGCAAGCGUUAAUCGGAAUUACUGGGCGUAAAGCGCGCGUAGGCGGUUAUUUAAGUCGGAUGUGAAAGCCCUGGGCUCAACCUGGGAACUGCAUACGAUACUGGGUAACUAGAGUACGAGAGAGGGAGGUAGAAUUCCACGUGUAGCGGUGAAAUGCGUAGAUAUGUGGAGGAAUACCGGUGGCGAAGGCGGCUUUCUGGACCAAUACUGACGCUGAGAUGCGAAAGCGUGGGGAGCGAACAGGAUUAGAUA